rnacentral:rRNA from 1 species
GAACCUUACCAGCCCUUGACAUGGGAGUCGCCGGGACCAGAGACGGUCCCUUCGGUUCGGCCGGACUCCGCACAGGGGCUGCAUGGCUGUCGUCAGCUCGUGUCGUAAGAUGUUGGGUUAAGUCCCGCAACGAGCGCAACCCUCGUCUCCAGUUGCCAUCAGGUUAAGCUGGGCACUUUGGAGAAACUGCCGGUGACAAGCCGGAGGAAGGUGGGGAUGACGUCAAGUCCUCAUGGCCCUUACGGGCUGGGCUACACACGUGCUACAAUGGCGGUGACAGUGGGAUGCGAAGGCGCGAGCCGGAGCCGAUCCCAAAAAGCCGUCCCAGUUCGGAUUGCACUCUGCAACUCGAGUGCAUGAAGGUGGAAUCGCUAGUAAUCGCGGAUCAGCAUGCCGCGGUGAAUACGUUCCCGGGCCUUGUCACACCGA